UACGUAGGGUGCAAGCGUUAAUCGGAAUUACUGGGCGUAAAGCGUGCGCAGGCGGUUAUAUAAGACAGUUGUGAAAUCCCCGGGCUCAACCUGGGAACUGCAUCUGUGACUGUAUAGCUAGAGUACGGUAGAGGGGAUGGAAUUCAUGGUGUAGCAGUGAAAUGCGUAGAGAUCAUGAGGAAGACCAGUGGCGAAGGCGGGUCUCUGGGACGGUACUGACGCUGAGACGCGAAAGCGUGGGGAGCGAACAGG
rnacentral:rRNA from 1 species